GAUGAAGAACGUAGCGAAAUGCGAUACGUAAUGUGAAUUGCAGAAUUCAGUGAAUCAUCGAAUCUUUGAACGCACAUUGCGCCUGCCAGCACUCUGGCAGGCAUGCCUGUUCGAGCGUCAUUUCAACCAUCAAGCCCUAGGCUUGCGUUGGAGCCCUGCGGCUGCCGCAGGCCCCUAAAAGCAGUGGCGGGCUCGCUAUCACACCGAGUGCAGUAGAUUACUCUUCGCUCAGGGCGUGUGGCGGGUUCCAGCCGUGAAACCCCCUACUUUUAAAGGUUGACCUCGGAUCAGGUAGGAAUACUCGCUGAACUUAAGCAUAUCAAUAAGCGGAGGA
rnacentral:misc_RNA from 1 species